rnacentral:miRNA from 1 species
UGGCGAUUGGACAGCCGGAAG